CGCGAAUGGCUCAUUACAACAGCCAUAGUUUAUUAGAUCUAACUCUACUUGGAUACCUGUGGUAACCUAAGAGCUAAUACAUGCAAUCAAGUCCUGACCUUUCGGGAAGGACGCAUUUAUUAGAACAAAACCAAUCGGGCUUGCCCGUAGUUUGGUGAAUCUGAAUAACUAUGCAGAUCGCACAGUCUUGGAACUGGCGACGUAUCUUUCAAAUGUCUGGCUUAUCAACUUUCGACAGUAGUUUACACGUCUACCGUGGUCGUAACGGGUAACGGAGAAUUAGGGUUCGACUCCGGAGAGGGAGCCUGAGAAACGGCCACCACAUCCAAGGAAGGCAGCAGGCACGCAAAUUACCCACUCUCGGCACGGGGAGGUAGUGACGAAAAAUAACGAGUCGGUUCUCUAAGAGGCCCGACAUCGAAAUGGGUACAAUUUAAAUCCUUUAACGAGGAUCUACUGGAGGGCAAGUCUGGUGCCAGCAGCCGCGGUAAUUCCAGCUCCAGAAGCGUAUAUUAAAGUUGUUGCGGUUAAAAAGCUCGUAGUUGGAUCUACGCCUUUGGUUGGCGGUCCCCCAGAAGGGUGGUACUGCCGUACCAGGGCUAUUUUUCUGGUUUUCUCUUGGUGCUCUUUACCGAGUGCUUUGGGUGACUGGAACAUUCACUUUGAAAAAAUUAGAGUGCUCAAAGCAGACGAUCUGCCUGAAUAGUGGUGCAUGGAAUAAUAGAAUAGGACUUCGGUUCUAUUUUGUUGGUUUUCGGAACUCGAGGUAAUGAUUAAGAGGGACAGACGGGGGCAUUCGUAUUGCGACGUUAGAGGUGAAAUUCUUGGAUCGUCGCAAGACGCACAACUGCGAAAGCAUUUGCCAAGAAUGUUUUCAUUAAUCAAGAACGGAAGUUAGAGGUUCGAAGGCGAUCAGAUACCGCCCUAGUUCUAACCGUAAACGAUGCCAGCUAGCGAUCCGCGGAAGUUAAUUUCAUGACUUCGCGGGCAGCUUCCGGGAAACCAAAGCUUUUGGGUUCCGGGGGAAGUAUGGUUGCAAAUCUGAAACUUAAAGGAAUUGACGGAAGGGCACCACCAGGAGUGGAGCCUGCGGCUUAAUUUGACUCAACGCGGGAAAACUCACCCGGCCCGGACACCGUAAGGAUUGACAGAUUGAGAGCUCUUUCUUGAUUCGGUAGUUGGUGGUGCAUGGCCGUUCUUAGUUGGUGGAGCGAUUUGUCUAGUUAAUUCCGAUAACGAGCGAGA
rnacentral:rRNA from 1 species